rnacentral:rRNA from 1 species
UACAGAGGUCCCGAGCGUUGUUCGGAUUCACCGGGCGUAAAGGGUGCGUAGGUGGCAUGGUAAGUUUGAUGUGAAAGCUCAGGGCUCAACCCUGAAAUGGCAUUGAAUACUACUGUGCUGGAGGUUUGGAGGGGGGACUGGAAUUCUUGGUGUAGCAGUGAAAUGCGUAGAUAUCAAGAGGAACACCAGUGGCGAAGGCGAGUCCCUGGACAACACCUGACACUGAGGCACGAAAGCUAGGGGAGCAAACAGG